UUUAUAUGAGAGUUUGAUCCUGGCUCAGGAUGAACGCUGGCGGCGUGCCUAAUACAUGCAAGUCGAACGAGUUCUCGUUGAAUCUCGGUGCUUGCACCGAGAUUCAACAUGGAACGAGUGGCGGACGGGUGAGUAACACGUGGGUAACCUGCCCUUAAGUGGGGGAUAACAUUUGGAAACAGAUGCUAAUACCGCAUAGAUCCAAGAACCGCAUGGUUCUUGGCUGAAAGAUGGCGUAAGCUAUCGCUUUUGGAUGGACCCGCGGCGUAUUAGCUAGUUGGUGAGGUAAUGGCUCACCAAGGCGAUGAUACGUAGCCGAACUGAGAGGUUGAUCGGCCACAUUGGGACUGAGACACGGCCCAAACUCCUACGGGAGGCAGCAGUAGGGAAUCUUCCACAAUGGACGCAAGUCUGAUGGAGCAACGCCGCGUGAGUGAAGAAGGCUUUCGGGUCGUAAAACUCUGUUGUUGGAGAAGAAUGGUCGGCAGAGUAACUGUUGUCGGCGUGACGGUAUCCAACCAGAAAGCCACGGCUAACUACGUGCCAGCAGCCGCGGUAAUACGUAGGUGGCAAGCGUUAUCCGGAUUUAUUGGGCGUAAAGCGAGCGCAGGCGGUUUUUUAAGUCUGAUGUGAAAGCCCUCGGCUUAACCGAGGAAGCGCAUCGGAAACUGGGAAACUUGAGUGCAGAAGAGGACAGUGGAACUCCAUGUGUAGCGGUGAAAUGCGUAGAUAUAUGGAAGAACACCAGUGGCGAAGGCGGCUGUCUGGUCUGUAACUGACGCUGAGGCUCGAAAGCAUGGGUAGCGAACAGGAUUAGAUACCCUGGUAGUCCAUGCCGUAAACGAUGAAUGCUAGGUGUUGGAGGGUUUCCGCCCUUCAGUGCCGCAGCUAACGCAUUAAGCAUUCCGCCUGGGGAGUACGACCGCAAGGUUGAAACUCAAAGGAAUUGACGGGGGCCCGCACAAGCGGUGGAGCAUGUGGUUUAAUUCGAAGCAACGCGAAGAACCUUACCAGGUCUUGACAUCUUUUGAUCACCUGAGAGAUCAGGUUUCCCCUUCGGGGCAAAAUGACAGGUGGUGCAUGGUUGUCGUCAGCUCGUGUCGUGAGAUGUUGGGUUAAGUCCCGCAACGAGCGCAACCCUUAUGACUAGUUGCCAGCAUUUAGUUGGGCACUCUAGUAAGACUGCCGGUGACAAACCGGAGGAAGGUGGGGAUGACGUCAAAUCAUCAUGCCCCUUAUGACCUGGGCUACACACGUGCUACAAUGGAUGGUACAACGAGUUGCGAGACCGCGAGGUCAAGCUAAUCUCUUAAAGCCAUUCUCAGUUCGGACUGUAGGCUGCAACUCGCCUACACGAAGUCGGAAUCGCUAGUAAUCGCGGAUCAGCACGCCGCGGUGAAUACGUUCCCGGGCCUUGUACACACCGCCCGUCACACCAUGAGAGUUUGUAACACCCGAAGCCGGUGGCGUAACCCUUUUAGGGAGCGAGCCGUCUAAGGUGGGACAAAUGAUUAGGGUGAAGUCGUAACAAGGUAGCCGUAGGAGAACCUGCGGCUGGAUCACCUCCUUUCUAAGGAA
rnacentral:rRNA from 1 species